GGCAGACGCUUAACAACCGAGCCACCCAGGCGCCCCUGGAAUCCAGGUUGUUAACUCCGUGGCCUACUCAUUUUCUGUCCCAGACCCCGGGCUCCUGACCUGCAGGCUCAGUGUGGCUCAGUCGUAUUCAAAUACCCGGAUGCCUGGAUUGUUGGCCCCGUUGACCACUCCCGGAGAGAGACCGUGGGACUGAGAGAGAGGCUGGCAAGAGGAGGAGGGGGGUGGGCAGGCAGCUGUCCUCCACGGCGAGUACCUGCAUCAUCGUAGAACAUCCGGAAGCUGUCGGUGUGGUGGUGCCCGAAGAACUGCCCUGCGAUGACUCGAUGGUGCUUCCGGACCACCUUCAGGUCCAGUUACAGUUGGGGAAGGGGUCUGGUUCACCGUGGGAGCCUUAGGAGUUUCACGCAUUCCGUGAUUCAACAGUUGUUUACUGACACCUCGUGUGGGCCAACACAUAGACCCCGGAACCAGGCACCCAGUCCCAGUCCCAGGGGCCUCGAAGUGCAGUAGGGUUGACAGACAGGAAACGGAGUCUCCAGGGCGUUGCCCAGCCGGAAAACAGCCGGAACGCGGAGCAGGCUCUGCGUUCACCUGCGUUCGCCACUCAGCUGUGCUGGAGAAAACGGGCCAGCGUUCACAGUGACUCUGAUGGGGAACGCAGGUGGCACAUGGCAGGAAGAACACAUGACACAUGUUGUGGACCCAAAAUCUCGAGCUUCGGUCCCUUCCUCCUCUCCAGCGAUUUGCCUGACGUCUCUGUGCUUCGGCUUGUUUAUCUAUAAAAUGGAGAGUGUUCUGUUUGACCUGUG